rnacentral:sRNA from 1 species
GUCUUGACAAGAGCAUCCUCAGCGGGCGAGUCCCCGGCUCCUCCAGCUCCUUCCUCCUCUUCCUCCUCCUCCUCCACCUCCGGCUUUUGGGGGGUCACGGUCCUCUCUCGGCAGCAGAAUGAGCCGGCAGGUGGUCCGCUCCAGCAAGUUCCGCCACGUGUUUGGACAGCCAGCCAAGGCCGACCAGUGCUAUGAAGAUGUGCGCGUCUCACAGACCACCUGGGACAGUGGCUUCUGUGCCGUCAACCCUAAGUUUGUGGCCCUGAUCUGUGAGGCCAGCGGGGGAGGGGCCUUCCUGGUGCUGCCCCUGGGCAAGACUGGACGUGUAGACAAGAAUGCGCCCACGGUCUGUGGCCACACAGCCCCUGUGCUAGACAUCGCCUGGUGCCCGCACAAUGACAACGUCAUUGCCAGUGGCUCCGAGGACUGCACAGUCAUGGUGUGGGAGAUCCCGGAUGGGGGCCUGAUGUUGCCCCUGCGGGAGCCUGUCGUCACCCUGGAGGGCCACACCAAGCGUGUAGGCAUUGUGGCCUGGCACCCCACAGCCCAGAACGUGCUGCUCAGUGCAGGUGCUGCGGGAGGAGGGGCCUGGGGGUGGCUGGUGGCCUGCACUGGAUAAGAGCAGGAGGCUCAUGGCUUCUGACACUGUGGGGAACGUGCAGGUUGUGACAACGUGAUCAUGGUGUGGGACGUGGGCACUGGGGCGGCCAUGCUGACGCUGGGCCCAGAGGUGCACCCAGACACGAUCUACAGUGU